CUGGCUCAGGAUGAACGCUGGCGGCGUGCUUAACACAUGCAAGUCGAACGGAGUUUUAACGGAAGUUUCGGAUGGAAGUUUAGAAACUUAGUGGCGGACGGGUGAGUAACGCGUGGGUAACCUGCCUCAUACAGGGGGAUAACAGUUAGAAAUGACUGCUAACACCGCAUAAUAUAGCGAAACCGCAUGAUUUUGCUAUCAAAUAUUUAUAGGUAUGAGAUGGGCCCGCGUCUGAUUAGCUAGUUGGUGGGGUAAAAGCCUACCAAGGCGACGAUCAGUAGCCGGCUUGAGAGAGUGACCGGCCACAUUGGGACUGAGACACGGCCCAAACUCCUACGGGAGGCAGCAGUGGGGAAUAUUGGACAAUGGGGGAAACCCUGAUCCAGCGAACCGCCGCGUGAGUGAAGAAGUAUUUCGGUAUGUAAAGCUCUAUCAGCAGGGAAGAUAAUGACAGUACCUGACUAAGAAGCCCCGGCUAACUACGUGCCAGCCGCUGC
rnacentral:rRNA from 1 species